rnacentral:lncRNA from 1 species
GUGACCCAGUAGUGAGGCCAUGAUCACUGGAGCAUCUGCACAGGCUCUGGCCAGAGGCUCACCUUAGCUCUUAUCUUCUCCCUGGCUGGCACCAGUAACAUGUGUAGGAGGAGUGUAAAAGAGAAACUGUUUGUAGUAUGAUCCAUCCUCUGGCACAACCUCAGGCCUGUGGUCGCAUCUGUUGGCAUCAGCAUCCUGAUGUUUUUUGGGGCAUCCUGUGAUUGCAGUGGCUUUAGACUUGGGUUUUGGGUUUUUUUUCUGGGGGGAAGGUGUUUGUGAGAAAUCCCAAAACUUUUACUUUAAUCACCUUUCUGCCCUUUUUAUCUCUACAGACCUUGGUCUCCUCCCUGUGCCACCUCUUGUCUGAGCUGAGGCAUCCUCCCACAUGGAGAAAGGAGCUUCAAAAAUCACUGGUCAAUCCAUUCUUCUUCAUGCCUUGUCAGUCCUUGCUAAGAGGGGGUGUGAGACGUUCCCCCCCCCAUAAGUCACGACUUAGGCGAACCUCAGGAUCAUCUUCUCAUGAUGGCUUUUAAAAAGGAAGGCUUUGCCUUCCUUUGCUUCAGCCUUUCAGUGAUCCUUUGAGAUCCCCACGUGUUUUUGACCAUUCCUGAGCCCCAAGCUGGAAUUUCUAAAGCACUACCAGCAGCAAGCCCAAGCAAAACAGUGAUGGCUGAGAGCAGAAGGAAGCAGCGUGUGCUCAUAGUGUGGAGAACUGCGCAUGCAGGUUGACAAAAUGUUGGCCAAUGCAUCCUCCCUCCAAGGGUGUGGGAGAUCAUUGCUUUGUGUGUGCAGAGCACAGGAGUGUCCCUGCAGGAGGACUUGGUGGAAGACACUUGCUGUCUGGCUCAUUGCUCAUCUGCAAGGAAUCCCAACAAACUUGCUACUGGCAAGAACAUUUAUUGGUGAGGCACUGCCAAAUCCCCCAAGCUGUCCAUGCACAAAGGGGUCAGGUCAUCCCUCGUGCAGCCCCCACAGCUGCAGCAGGGCUUGGCACAAGAUUUCUGCUGAAGAUGUGAGGGUUUGGUCCUGCAGGAGCAGCUGCAAGAGUUUUGCAAUGUAG